GGUGGAGAAACAUCGAUGUUAACAUCGAUGUCAUCGAUGUUUUGAAAACAUCGUUGACAUCGAUGUUUGGCAAGCCAACAUCGAUGUUUAUCAUCUCUAACGAGCAUCAAGCAGGGAAGACGUGAAAAUUUGUUCUGUUGGUGGUGUUGGCUGAGGUAGUGGAGUGGAGGCAUGGAGAGAUAUCUGAAACGAACAUCAAAAUCGGAUGAAAAUGUGGAGGAGCCAGCACCAGGUCCAAAAAAGAAGCGGGAAGCUUCGGGAAGCUUAUUUUUGCGUUCCCGCUUCAUCGUGUGAAUCAGAACGUGUAUUCAGCAAAGCAGGACAACUGAUAUCCGACCGUCGCACCAGACUUUCAUCUUCGGUCGUCGACAAACUUUUGUUUUUAAACAAAAACAAACAUAUAAAUAAAAUUUGACUGUGAUAAAAAAAA